rnacentral:rRNA from 1 species
GACGAACCGUGCGAACGUUGUUCGGAAUCACUGGGCUUAAAGGGCGCGUAGGCGGGCACGCAAGUCCGGGGUGAAAGCCCCCAGCUUAACUGGGGAAGUGCCUUGGAUACUGAUGGUCUUGAGGGGGGUAGGGGCAGUGGGAACUUCCGGUGGAGCGGUGAAAUGCGUAGAGAUCGGAAAGAACACCAACGGCGAAAGCACUCUGCUGGGCCGACACUGACACUGAGAGACGAAAGCUAGGGGAGCGAAUGGG